CAGCUUACUAAAGAAGCUCUUUUUGCUGUGGAUGAGGAAACUCUGAAAUUACAGCAUAAAGCAGACAGACUGUUGUCUCAGAGUGCAUCAAGUAUAACGUCUGGUCCCAUUGUUAGCACAGAUGGAUUAGGAUCAUCAACUACUAGGAGUGAGCUUAGUUCUAUAAAUGAUGAGCCACCAUUUAGACCUUUAUUUGUGAAAAAUGAAGAAAUCAGAAGGGAAAAUCCAUCAUUUACCUCAGCAGCCAGAGCAGGGUUAGAUUUUUAUUCAAACAAGCACCAGGCACCUGGCCUCCCUGCUGAUGAUAUACUGCUACGCUGGAGGCUAAGUAGAAAACUUGAUUCAUCCUACUUGCAUCCAUCUACACCUUCCAUAGUACCUAAGGUUUGUCUCUCAGUAAUUUCAAAUUUAGAGUUUAUAUAGAUCUAGAUUAAUUUUUAUCUAUAGGUGAUAUAUAUUAGCUGGGUUCCUGAUCAUUUCAUC
rnacentral:sRNA from 1 species